GCUGCUAGAUUUGAAUGGGCCAGAGCUAGAAAAGGUUUUUCUACAGGUUCAAAUUUCAGUACAAGCAGCCCUGACACCUGAGCCAUAGGAACAGCAGAUCCAAAGCUAUGAGAAUAUCUUGAUAGAGAAGGAUUCGGUGUUACCACUCUGGAAAGUGCCAAUAUGAGUGUCAUUCCAAGGAACUCUAAAAUUCUGGAGCAAAGCCGUACUAUCUGCAGCAGAGAACUACACAUCACUUAAAAAGCAACUGUAGGCAUGCUAUGGGUCCUGACAGAAAGUUCCCAAACAUGGAGAUUUCAAAUGACCAUGCAAUCAGGGUCCUCCAUCAUGAGCUGAAUAAUAUCAGACCUACCAAGUCAUAAUAUUAGGUAAGUCCAACAGCAAUCUAUUACAAAGUACAGGUGGUACAUCUGGAAUCAAGCUUCAGUAGGUUCACAUGGUAUAAGUAAGCUUGCAUCAAGAGAUGGCCUAGAAACCCUAUCAUCUGCCACAAUUGAAACAAUGCCACUCUCUUGGCUCAUAUUGAUGACCUUAUGGGAGAGUGCCAAGACAUGCUAACGAAGAGGAAAUGGCAUGAGGUUUGUUCUCAGAUGGUUCAACUUGGCAUGGGAGAGAGCCAAAUAUAAACACUCAUGUACUACAGCCCCACUCAAAGGUGGCUCUUAUCAGAAAGGGAAAAUUCUUCCCAAGCGCAUAGCUUCAGAAAGUGCAACUUAUCACCUUUCCGUGAAAGAGAAAAGUGGCCUAAGGAGAUAAUCCAGUCCAGAAGCAGGUGUUAAUAGAAAGAGCUCAGAGAAACUGUUGGUGCUAUCCAACAAGCAAACACGCAUCAAGACAAGCAAAGAAAUACAGACAGAACUUUAAAAUGAAGACAUUCUAAGAUCUCACUUUUAACUGAUAACCUGGAGGCAACGUUUACCAAGAUGGAUGGGCACAUAUCUAGGAACUGUCAAAAUCCAGGAAUGCUGGAAGAAGUAUGCAUUUGAGGACACUUAAGAAAUCAACUAUGAGUUUGAAACCAAGUUACAAAAGGAGAGAGCAACCACAUUUUUCAAAGAGAUUUUCUUUUGUCAUGGCCCAAUUCGAUCUUCACAGCGGACAACAUACAGCCGGAUAUCGUGCUUUGUACAAAUUGAAGUUUUGCAUCAACCCUGCUUCAAGCAAGUCUAUUGGCACCAUUUUCCCAACAGCGUGUGUUCAUUUUGUGUCACUGUGUCAUAUUUUGGUAAUUCUCAUAACAUUCCAAAUUUUGCCAUUAUAUCUAUUGUGGUGAUCUGUGAUCUGUGAUCACCACAAUUGCUUUUGUUUUUGUAACCAUUGUAAUUGUUUUGGGGUGCCAUGCACAAACUGAACCAAUAUAAAAGAUGGGAACAUUAAUUGAUAAACGUUAUAUGUGUUCUGACUGCUCCACCAACUGGCCAUUCAUCUCUCUCCUCCUCAGGCCUCUGUAUUCUCUGAGACACAAUAUUAAAA
rnacentral:lncRNA from 1 species